GGCUUGGUACACUGCUCUCACUUCUCUUCUGUGCAGCUGCUGUUCUUCACUUCUUCCUGAGAGGACUGAACCAUCCUGAAGGGAUCCUGUUGCUUUCUGAGUGAAUUACUUCUGAUAUCUCACUUAUAAUCUGAAGCAUGGAACCAAGCCUCAUUUCAGGCAAGUUUUACUAGUUGUUUCAAUGGACUAAAUAUAAAUUGCAUGAAAAAAGAAAAGGUUGAGCAGCAAAAACCAAACCUUUCUACUGAUAUGAAGGCUUAGCCUUCUGCUGGUCUUUUUCUCAUAGAUUGCACUCAGGAGUCUGGAUGGUUUUGUGGGUGACUUCUCUUUCCAUUUCAGACAUUUAAACUCCCAUUUGAAUGAGGUUUGGUGUAGUGAGCUAAAGCAGGUCAGACUUAGUGCAUUUGAACAUUUGAACAGUGUAACAGAGUCCCACCUUCCUGUGCCUCUAUGUAAGAGCUGAGGAAUAUGUCCCAAGACCUGGAGGUACUCAAUGUCCCCAGAUCUGACAAAGGGAAGGUUGGGUCUCUGAUACAGAAAUCACCGAACCUCCUGUUUAAAUGAUGCUAAGCCUCCUCAGUUACCUUGAGACAUUUCAGAGUUAAACUUUAAAUUCAUCUUUUAUAUCUUAUUAAACUUUUUUUUUUUCAUAGAAGAAGACUGGAUAUUUGAGGUUUAGUUCAACUACUGUAAGCCAGGGACAAUCAAAACCAUAUAUUGUGAUGCGUCUCAAGUUUUCUUCCUAAUUUAUGAAGACUGUGUGGGAGAAGACAACAAUCUGUACUCAGGAGAAAUGCAGUGAAUCAGCCUGUUCCUUAUGGUGAAAUGUUCUUUUAAGCAGCUGCUGUACCUUGUAGAAAUAAAAAAUAACAACAACAACAAACAAACUCCAGAUUCCACUUUAAUAAACCUCAAAAAAAAUUAAGCUCUUGUUCUUUAAAAUACGGCACUACUGUCUACAGUCUUAAUGCGAUAUUUGUUAUUGCAUUGUUAUUGUUGGGAAACACAGCAUAAUGCUACUUCCCUUUCUAUUUGGCUGUAGAAGCAAGGGUUAUUAAUCACACUAGACUAUUAUGGAAAUUAGGGAAAGCGCAGAGAGGGAAUGGUGCAGAGACCUAUUGUCUCAGGGAAGAAUCUGGGAGGGGCUCUUCCCUAAGGAUCCCCAUAUGCAAAAAAUGAUGGUUGAGAUGCCUUUUUAGGAAACUGAGAGUAUUUUCUGCAUAGCCAGCUGGCCAGCUAGAGUCAGAGAGAGCCAAGCACAGCCCUCACUGUCUUCUAUCAGUGCUGAGCAGAAUGCCUGUCAGCAAUAACCACCACUUGCCUUGCUCAUUGACUGUGCAAGACAGAAGAGGUGACAGAACAGGUGCUUAUGCACACAGAGUCACCUGGAGAAAUGGUGAUCAGUUUAAUUUGAUCUGAGUUGUUUAUCACUCUUGGUCCCUACUCUGGGAAGUAAAGGACAGUAUGGAAAGGAGCUGGUAAACUCAGUGACAGCAUAGAGUGAUGUCUGUUCCUCUGUACCUUUUCUGGAACAGAAACCAGCUGAGGAUUUGCAGAGAUAUCCCCAAUGUAGAGGAUGGUCAGCUCUGAUUUUUGGCCUAUAUUAACUAUCUUACUGUCAUUGUGCUAAGAGCAUAACAACAUGAUUUUAUAGGUCUGGGAACUUGAUGUAAAACCUGAGGAACAUUGGGAUUAUGUUACACAGGAGACUACUUGGAAGGGUCAUAUACUCUGACAUCUCUUCUACUCAUUGUGAGAAACCCUGGAAAUAUUAAAACCAUCACCACUGAUGCCUCUGAUGGGCACAGUCCUCUGUGAUUUAUACUCUUUGAAGGCACAGUAAGAUAAUGUUCCUUUGUGCAUUCCCAUUUCACUUUCUGGUCUGAUCAGAUACAACAAUGGCCCAGAAAAUCUGACAACCUCAAUAACAACUGUUCCUGUUCACUGUGCACAUCUGCUACAAGUCUCAAGGGACUUCUAAGGCUUUGGCCAUCAGUGACUCCAUUCCAGAUUGUUGUUAUGACUACACAUAAUUGCAUUUUAAUUUAUAUGAGGAGAAAGCAUUUCAAGCUUUUGUUUUAGUGACAAAUCUAGCCUUGGUCACCCUGUCUUACAUGGUCAUUGCAGCCACAGGGGGAUUCAUCAGCCAAAGAAAGCCAGGUCCUACCAUACACGUGCCAGAGACCACCAAGAACUGCAUGUUCAUACUCAGAACUAUUUCUUGGCUCCCUGGCAACUGUUGCAUGAGGUACAAACAACUGAUGGAACUAAAUAGAAAAUGGCCAUUCAACAUUUCAUAGAAUCAUACAAUCAUUUAAAUUGGAAACUUUAUGAUCAGGAUUUGGCCACUUAGGCACCUUCCUGGCUCAUGUUCAGCUGGCUGUUGAUCAGGACUGACAGGUCCUUUUCCACUGACCAGCUUCCCAGCCACCCCAGCUUGUUGUGCUGCAUGCAGGUGUUGUGGCAGAAGGGCAGGACCUGGCACUUUGCCUUUUUGAACCUUGUACGAUUGUCCUUGACCUAUUGAUCCAGCCUAUCCAGAUUUCCCUGCAGGACCUUCCUCACCAUGAGCAUUCCUGCCCAGCUUAGUGCCAUCUGCAAACUUAACCAAGGGUGCCCUCAAUCCUCUUAUCCAAACCAUUGAUAAAAAUAUUGAACAGCGAUGACCCCACAACACAAACUGUGUUGCUGGGAACACAAUUUGUGACUGGCCACAAACUGGGUGUAGCUCCAUUCACCACCAUCUUCUGCCACCCAGACAGUUUGCAAUCCUGCUAGGAGUGCAUGCGGCCAAGCCAUGAAGCUUUUCCAGAAGAAUGUUGAGGGAGUGUCCUGGGGUGACGUUAUGAUGCUUGUAUAUCCCUAUUCAUCUGUUCUGUGCCUUUAAGACCGGCACUGAAGAGUGGAAGUUUUGUUUGGCUUUCUCUUAUCAAGACACAGAGACAAGCGGUACACAAGACUGUUUUUUCACUUCCAGCUUCAGCUUGCUGCUUUUGCUUGCUCUCUUUUUCUGCUCUUGCUUCUGCUCUGCUUUCUGCCUCUGCUUAUUAGCUAGUUCUAGCUAAACAGUCCACAUUGCUUCCUGGACUGUUUCUCCUCUCCUGUUCCUGUGACCAUCUCGAACCUGCUCCGGACUGGGACCCGGGAACACCGAAGGUUCGGCUGCAGUGGCUGGCCCAGAGCCCGAGGGACUGAGAACAGAGCAACCACCCCCGAAAGAGACUUUCUGAUUUUGUCAUCUUUCUCAAAGCGGUGUCAUUGGGUAUUGUUCAUUUUGUGUGCUGGGGGGUGCGGGGCCAGUCAAAUAAACAGGUUCUUUCCACCUUU